CCUAAAGUACCAAACCGAACCGCCCCCUCAUGUUCUCAAACCACCUUCAUCUCUCUGCUUAUUCUAUCAAUAUCAAACUCUCUGUUAGAUCCUUCCCAUGAAUCAAGCAAACAAAUGUUCAUGUCAACACAAUCAACUCAACGCAUUCGCCCAGACUCAAACAAAAAUCGUAAUCACAACUUAAUAGUAAAGCAUAUAAACAACAAAUGCAACCAUAAUGUGGAGAUACAAAAUGUUACCGAUUCAUUCUGAUACGAGAUGUUGCGUCUUGUGUUGCGGACGUGUUGUUGAUUUGCAGGUGCGAUAUGGAGAAGAUGAUGUGUGAUCCGGAUCUCUGUGUACAGGUUUAAUGGAUCGGUGACGUAUGUUGACAUUGUUGAGUUGAAGAUCGACACGUUCUUAUGCUAUUUGUGUAUUUAUAUUUCGUCGCGAGUGGAUCGUUUCGACUUGAUGAAGAUGAUGAUGAUCUGAGUUUGUAGCUAUUCGCGGGGGUGGCUUCGAGGUUGUUGAGGGCGGCAGAGUUUCGCUCUGAGCAGGAGGUUUCACCAGUACCUAAAAACAAAACAAAUCGAUCAUUGCAAGUGACUUUGUUAGUUUUGUAAUAACAGAAAGUUUGUUCGUGAUUUCGUUUCAGCACUACAUGUGACCCAAUUUCGAUGCCGCAAUUGCUGAAGGUGAAUUGGAGCUGUGAUGCUUCGAAAUGGCAGUGUCGGUGUUAUGCGGAAUUGUGAUGAGGUCACAAGAUUUCGUCGGAGAAUCUACGGCGGCUGUUGGUGUUGAUGAAUGUUGCGAUGUGGUGCUGUCGUGCAGUCGUAUGUGUGAAGUGAACAUGAUGAGUUCUUGUUUAUGGUUUGAAUAGUUGUGUUAGACUUUCUUCUGUUCAGAACCUGCACUAGUAUCCUUUUAAUUAUGUUGUUAGUAUGAAGAAUGAACAACUAAUAUGUAUGAUAUAUAGAAUUUGCAUGGAAAACUCUAUGGAACAUCGAACUAUGGACAAAAGUUGAAAUAAAUUGGGCCAUUGACAAAGUACGUACAAUUGAGAAAAUAAAUUGAAAUAUUUUUUGUUAA